rnacentral:rRNA from 1 species
UGGGGAAUUUUGGACAAUGGGCGAAAGCCUGAUCCAGCCAUGCCGCGUGAGUGAAGAAGGCCUUCGGGUUGUAAAGCUCUUUUAGUCGGAAAGAAAGAGUUGCAAUGAAUAAUUGUGAUUUAUGACAGUACCGACAGAAAAAGCACCGGCUAACUACGUGCCAGCAGCCGCGGUAAUACGUAGGGUGCGAGCGUUAAUCAGAAUUACUGAGCGUAAAGGGUGCGCAGGCGGUCUUGCAAGUCAGAUGUAAAAGCCCCAGGCUUAACCUGGGAAUUGCGUUUGAAACUACAAGGCUAGAGUGCAGCAGAAGGGAGUGGAAUUCCAUGUGUAGCAGUGAAAUGCGUAGAGAUGUGGAAGAACACCGAUGGCGAAGGCAGCUCCCGUGGGUUGACACUGACGCUC